rnacentral:misc_RNA from 1 species
GCAAACUUGGUCAUUUAGAGGAAGUAAAAGUCGUAACAAGGUUUCCGUAGGUGAACCUGCGGAAGGAUCAUUCACAAUAAAGUGUUUUUACUAGCACUUUUUAAAAAUCUAGUACCCACCUUGUGUGCAAUGUAUUGUAUUCGAGAAUUCUCUUGAAUAUAAUAAUACCAACCUUUUAUUUUUAACGUAUGUCUGAAAAUAUAUUGAAUAAAUAAUUCAAAAUAUAACUUUCAACAACGGAUCUCUUGGCUCUCGCAUCGAUGAAGAACGCAGC